rnacentral:rRNA from 1 species
UACAGAGGGUGCAAGCGUUGUUCGGAAUUAUUGGGCGUAAAGGGCGCGUAGGCGGUUCGGCAAGUCUCUAGUGAAAUCUCAGGGCUCAACUCUGAGUCUGCUGGGGAAACUGCCGGGCUUGAGUGUGGGAGAGGAGAGUGGAAUUCCCGGUGUAGCAGUGAAAUGCGUAGAUAUCGGGAGGAACACCUGUGGCGAAAGCGGCUACCUGGACCGGUUCUGACGCUGAUGCGCGAAAGCGUGGGGAGCAAACAGG